AGAAAAGAGACAUAUUAUGGAAGAUAAUAAUAAAAUAUUAAUUAUAUUUCAUUUAUUCAUUUUAAUUUGCCAUUGGUUACGCCUAGAAAUUGAUACAGCGAGGAGAUAUUGCAACACUUAUUAAGAAUGAAAAAACUGGAAAAUAUAAAGAGAAACUAUCAGUUUCAGCAAAAAAUAGUUAUAUACCAAUUCCAAAAGGCAAUGCGCCAUCAAUACCAGCAUAUUUAUUAGGAAAAAGUUUUCAUAAGAAUCACUUGCAUCGCAAUAAAUGCGAAGAAAAAAAGCAACCCAUUGAAGUAUCAUCGAAUGAUACUAAUCGCCCUAACAUAGAAAGUAACUCAUCUGAAAAACAUGAAGAAGUCACUAAAAAGUUGGAAGUUAAUAUUGAACAUUUGGCUUCAAGAACAUCGAAUGACGUUACUUCACCAGCUAUGUCCAUCGUUGACACAAAUAAUAAGCUGGAAGAAAAAAAGCAAC